rnacentral:misc_RNA from 1 species
UAUUACAAAAAGGCUAGUUUCCCGCUAUUUUUAAUUUAACUGUAAGCCGAUUUAAAAAAUGUAAACAAACAAAGCAAUAUUAAACGUCACUGAACCAGUAGUAUUCAUGUUAAUUUUCACUAUUAAAUGUGACUCGAUAUAAAGGUACAAUGCACGAAGAAAGGCUAGCAAUUGUUAAGAAAGAAAUUCGAAGUGUGAUUAUAACUUAUCCAAAAGGAGUCUCUUUAAAUGGAUUUCUGAAAGCAUACCACCAGCUGGUUGGAAUCCGACUACCAUCGAGAGAAUUUGGCUUCACGUCAGAUGUCGAUUUCUUAUAUUCUCUUACGGAUAUAGUUAAAAUACAAACAGAUAGAAAUGGUGACAUUCUCUUGAACUGCAUUGUUGAUGAAAGCACUGAACACAUACAAAAACUAGUUGGAAAGCAAAGAGUUGUCAAAACUAAGACAAAAAAUGGUUCUGGUCGAGAUAGCCUUCCGAAGGCAUUCAAUCAUUCCUCCAAAAUCAAACCAUUUGUCUCUGCUUCUUUGAGGAAAAAUUUAUUUGAAGUUUUGAAGGACUUCCCAGAUGGUAUAAACUACAACUCGCUUCAGUUAGCCUAUCAAAGGAAGUUUAAAAGACCUUUAAACCUCGAAUUUCUUUCUGAGAGUCGUUAUGAUAGGUUGAGAAAACUUGAAAUGGCUGUUUCAGAACUACAUGUGAAAGUGGUAGAUGAGACUGAAAGGUUAUUCUACUACCCUCUUACAAGAAACACUAAGAGACAUGAAGGCAAUAAUAAAAUAUCAUCUGACACCUUAUCUACGCAAGAUUCUCAAUCUCAAAAAAUUCAACUAAAUGUUGAGAAUUUUGAAACUGCUGAUAUACCCAUCAUUCCACGGGUGAUAAAAGAGGACUUUGAAAAAGAUGAAGACUAUAAAUUCUGGCUGCUAACAAAAAACAAAAGAAUUGAAAUCAUAAAUGUUUUAAAACUUUAUCCUGAUGGGGUAUUGGCUAGACAUUUUCCUUUUUUAUAUGAGAAAACUACUGGAGAAAUAUUUGACCUUGCUGACUUGGGUUACAAUAAUUUCCUGGAAUUGGCUGAUGCUUUGCCAGAUGUAUUUAUUUGCAUCAAACCUUAUGAGAGUCCAAACGAGUGGAUGAUUUUUCACCCAUGUUUUUCAGAAAGUGCUGAAAAAUUUAAAAAACUAAAUGAGACUCUUCAACUAUCCGAUGAAAGAUUUGGAAAUUCAAAUGAAGGACAUAAUCAAGCAAUACCAUCUGACAUUGUCCUGCCUACACAACCUUAUCAUCCUGCUGAAUUUCCAAGUGAUAUCAACUUAUCUUUGUACAUUCCUGUAUUCAUAUCAGUUGCUAUUAAUCCUGGGUGCUUUUGGUUUAAACUUCACAUUGAAGAAGUUAUCUGCAGAUUUAGGGAAUUAGAAGACGAAAUGCAAUCUUUUUACCACAAUGAGAAAUCAGAUAUUUAUCAGAUGUCUAUGAAAGACAUCAAAAUUGGUUCAACGUGUGUUGCGAUGCAUGAAAACCACUGGUAUCGCACUACGAUUACAUCAUCACCUAAUGCUGAUUCUGUCAAUGUUUAUGUUGUUGAUUAUGGAGGCUGGGAAAAAGUGCCCUGUUCCAGACUUCGUUAUUUAAAAAAUUCGUUCAUCUCUUUGCCAGGGCAAGCUUUUAAAGCUCAACUUGCUUCAAUAAAGCCCUUAAAUAAUGCCAAAGUAUGGAGUAAAAGAGCUACUAAUAGAUUUUUACAACUCUGUAUUAAGUCUUGCAUUAUGGCUAAAGUUGAAUUAGAGUUUGAUGACUCACUGUCAGUUUUACUCUGUGAUACUUCUGGUGAUGAUGACAUUGAUAUCAAUGCAAUACUGUUGGAUGAAAACUUAGCUGAAAGUUAUUCAGCUGAUAACUCUAAUCUAAUUGAUAAAUCACCUGUUGAAGUUUUUGAAACAUACAAUGGAGAAAAUAACUCAGCAGAGAACAGUGCCUCUGUUAAUUAUUGUGCUGAUUCACAAAGAUUUAGAAUGAAUGGUGAAAGUCAGGAUAAGAAGAAUAGCUCAUCUCUUGUAGAAAGGGCUUAUCUGGGAGAUGAUUAUUGGACUCAUAUAAUUAUGAUUUCUGACAUGGCUUAUAUGACUGCUACUGAUCUUUGUAAUUUAUUUUGGCAUGAUAAAUCUGCUGAAGUUUUAAAAUCAAGAGUAAUUACAGUGUAAGGAUGUAGAAAUUCCUACUACUACAGUUUUAAGAGAUGAACAAAAUGAAUUAUUUCUGAAAUGUGAAAAAAAUGGAGUUCACGGGUUUUCUCCACUUCAACAAUCUGUUGAAUUGUAUCCCUUAUUUGUUGUCAUGAAAGUUCUAAAUUCAUUGGGUCAUCCCUCUGUUGAAGUUCGAGAAACAAUUCAAACUGCACUUCAAAAUCCUAAUAAUAUGAAGAAUCUCUUAAGGGAAUCGGCUAACUCUUGUCAUGUACCUGUUGAU